rnacentral:rRNA from 1 species
AUGAACGCUGGCGGCGUGCCUAAUACAUGCAAGUCGGGCGAACGGACGAGAAGCUUGCUUUUCUGAUGUUAGCGGCGGACGGGUGAGUAACACGUGGAUAACCUACCUAUAAGACUGGGAUAACUUCGGGAAACCGGAGCUAAUACCGGAUAAUAUUUUGAACCGCAUGGUUCAAAAGUGAAAGACGGUCUUGCUGUCACUUAUAGAUGGAUCCGCGCUGCAUUAGCUAGUUGGUAAGGUAACGGCUUACCAAGGCAACGAUGCAUAGCCGACCUGAGAGGGUGAUCGGCCACACUGGAACUGAGACACGGUCCAGACUCCUACGGGAGGCAGCAGUAGGGAAUCUUCCGCAAUGGGCGAAAGCCUGACGGAGCAACGCCGCGUGAGUGAUGAAGGUCUUCGGAUCGUAAAACUCUGUUAUUAGGGAAGAACAUAUGUGUAAGUAACUGUGCACAUCUUGACGGUACCUAAUCAGAAAGCCACGGCUAACUACGUG